GCAUUUUUUUAUUGUGAAGGUUUACAAUGUCGGCAUCGAAAUUUGCUAUAUUUUGUAUUGUUCUCAUUUGUCUUGCUAGUCUUCAUGAAUUUCCACUACAGACUGCCGAAGCACCAAAGCGGAUUGUGAGAAGAUUUGUAUCUGGUAGUAUUUGGGGCCGUUGAAUUUUUCUGAAGAGAAUUUCUAUAAUUAUAUAUUCCAAUUAUUUUCAUACUUCUAUUAUUCAAAAUUUAGAUAAUAAAUAGAAAUUCCUAUUCCACAUGAGCAGGAGCAGCUAGUAUUAUGUACUAAAUGUUUUGGAAUUUCUUUGAAAGAUCAAUAUAUAUAGUUGUCUUUCUCACU